GCUGGCGGCAGGCCUAACACAUGCAAGUCGAGCGCCGUAGCAAUACGGAGCGGCAGACGGGAGAGUAACACGUGGGAACGUACCCUUUGGUUCGGAACAACCCAGGGAAACUUGGGCUAAUACCGGAUAAGCCCUUACGGGGAAAGAUUCAUCGCCGAAGGAUCGGCCCGCGUCUGAUUAGCUAGUUGGUGGGGUAAUGGCCCACCAAGGCGACGAUCAGUAGCUGGUCUGAGAGGAUGAUCAGCCUCACUGGGACUGAGACACGGCCCAGACUCCUACGGGAGGCAGCAGUGGGGAAUAUUGGACAAUGGGCGCAAGCCUGAUCCAGCCAUGCCGCGUGGGUGAUGAAGGCCCUAGGGUUGUAAAGCCCUUUCGGCGGGGAAGAUAAUGACGGUACCCGCAGAANAAGCCCCGGCUAACUUCGUGCCA
rnacentral:rRNA from 1 species